rnacentral:rRNA from 1 species
UACGUAGGGGGCAAGCGUUGUCCGGAAUCACUGGGCGUAAAGCGCACGUAGGCGGAUCUUUAAGUCAGGGGUGAAAUCCUGGAGCUCAACUCCAGAACUGCCUUUGAUACUGGGGAUCUCGAGUCCGGGAGAGGUGAGUGGAACUGCGAGUGUAGAGGUGAAAUUCGUAGAUAUUCGCAAGAACACCAGUGGCGAAGGCGGCUCACUGGCCCGGUACUGACGCUGAGGUGCGAAAGCAUGGGGAGCAAACAGG